GUGCUCGCUUCGGCAGCACAUAGACCAAAUUUGGAAUGAUACAGAGAAGAUUAGCAUGGCCCCUGCUCAAGGAUGGCACGCAAAUUCAUGAAGCAUUUCAUAAAAAA